UACGGAGGAUCCGAGCGUUAUCCGGAUUUAUUGGGUUUAAAGGGUGCGUAGGUGGCCUGUUAAGUCAGGGGUGAAAGACGGUAGCUCAACUAUCGCAGUGCCCUUGAUACUGAUGGGCUUGAAUGAACUAGAGGUAGGCGGAAUGUGACAAGUAGCGGUGAAACGCAUAGAUAUGUCACAGAACACCAAUUGCGAAGGCAGCUUACUAUGGUUUUAUUGACACUGAGGCACGAAAGCGUGGGGAUCAAACAGG
rnacentral:rRNA from 1 species